rnacentral:rRNA from 1 species
CUACGGGGCGCUGCAGUGAGGAAUAUUGCACAAUGGAGGAAACUCUGAUGCAGCAACGCCGCGUGGAGGAUGACGCAUUUCGGUGUGUAAACUCCUUUUAUAUGUCAAGAAAAUGACGGUAGCAUAUGAAUAAGCUCCGGCUAACUCCGUGCCAGCAGCCGCGGUAAUACGGAGGGAGAAAGCGUUACUCGGAAUCACUGGGCGUAAAGGACGCGUAGGCGGGAUAGAAAGUCAGGUGUGAAAUCCUAUGGCUCAACCAUAGAACUGCACUUGAAACUUCUAACCUAGAGUAUGGGAGGGGAAGAUGGAAUUAGUGGUGUAGGGGUAACAUCCGUAGAUAUCACUAGGAAUACCAAAAGCGAAGGCGAUCUUCUGGAACAAUACUGACGCUAAGGCGUGAAAGCGUGGGGAGCAAACAGGAUUAGAUACCCCCGUAGUC